AUUGAACGCUGGCGGCAGGCCUAACACAUGCAAGUCGAGCGGAGCGGCGGACGGGUGAGUAAUGCCUAGGAAUCUGCCUGGUAGUGGGGGAUAACGUCAGGAAACGGGCGCUAAUACCGCAUACUAUCAGAUGAGCGUAGGUCGGAUUCGCUAGUUGUGUGGUAAAAGGCCUACAAAGGCGCCGAUCCGUAACUGGUCUGAGAGGAUGAUCAGUCACACUGGAACGGAGACACGGUCCAGACUCCUACGGGAGGCAGCAGUGGGGAAUAUUGGACAAUGGGCGAAAGCCUGAUCCAGCCAUGCCGCGUGUGUGAAGAAGGUCUUCGGAUUGUAAAGCACUUUAAGUUGGGAGGCGUUACCAACAGAAUAAGCACCGGCUAACUUCGUGCCAGCAGCCGCGGUAAUAC
rnacentral:rRNA from 1 species